UGCAGUCGAGGGGUAUGGGUUGCUUGCAACCCAGAGACCGGCGCACGGGUGCGUAACGCGUAUGCAAUCUACCUUAAUCAGGGGGAUAGCCCGGAGAAAUCCGGAUUAACACCGCAUAACAUUGAGAUGUGGCAUCACACUUCAAUCAAAUAUUUAUAGGAUUAAGAUGAGCAUGCGUGACAUUAGUUAGUUGGUGAGGUAACGGCUCACCAAGACCACGAUGUCUAGGGGAUCUGAGAGGAUGACCCCCCACACUGGUACUGAGACACGGACCAGACUCCUACGGGAGGCAGCAGUAAGGAAUAUUGGUCAAUGGGCGCAAGCCUGAACCAGCCAUGCCGCGUGCAGGAAGACGGCCCUAUGGGUUGUAAACUGCUUUUGUACCGGAAUAAACCUUCUCUUGCGAGAGAAGCUGAACGUACGGUAAGAAUAAGGAUCGGCUAACUCCGUGCCAGCAGCCGCGGUAAUACGGAGGAUCCAAGCGUUAUCCGGAUUUAUUGGGUUUAAAGGGUGCGUAGGCGGCUUUUUAAGUCAGGGGUGAAAACUUGCGGCUCAACCGUAAGCUUGCCUUUGAUACUGAGGAGCUUGAAUACACUUGAGGUAGGCGGAAUGUGACAAGUAGCGGUGAAAUGCAUAGAUAUGUCACAGAACACCAAUUGCGAAGGCAGCUUACUAAAGUGAGAUUGACGCUGAGGCACGAAAGCGUGGGGAUCAAACAGGAUUAGAUACCCUGGUAGUCCACGCCCUAAACGAUGAAUACUCGAUGUUAGCGAUAUACAGUUAGCGUCUAA
rnacentral:rRNA from 1 species